AAGCGGCAUGGCGCUGUCCGAGCCUCCGUUCUCCCGCUGCGCCGGGGCUGGUCGAGCGGCUGGAGGCGGUGCUGAGUGCAAACCGCGGGCUCGGGCAGCUGUGAGAGGAUUUUGUUUUAUCCUCUGAGCUGUGUUGUUGUAACCGAGGAGCGUGGUUGCUGGGAGAGGGGGUGCUGCUGUGUUCAGCACUUCCUGUGGGGAAAUCUUUCCACUGGAAAAAGACAUUGAGCCUUUGACAGUCGUGCUCUGGACUCAAUCCUGCAGCCAUUUCUUUGUCCAUCGAACAGCCUGCCCAUCAAAUCCAUCUUUCCAGUUUCAAGAGAAGGAUGUUGUGGGAUACCGGGUCAAAGGCCUUACUGAAAUCCAGAUGGAUGACAUCAGUCGCUCUUCCCUUGUCUAUUGGUGCAGUGACACCAUCACAAAAGGUCACUAGAUUGGUUAAGCAUGGACUUCAUGAAGCCAUGCUGGUUCUCCUGCAUUGGCUCCCUGCCUUCCAUGAGUUCCAGAGCUUCCAGGAGGAUCUGCUCUGUGAUCUUUGCAGCACAGAGUUGCAGAAAAUGUAUUUCUGAGCUGAAGCUACAUGACGUGUCAUUACCGUAAGAAUGUGAACUGCUGUUCACAAAGAAGUGCCCUGCAGAAGAGGAAGACCAGAGAUGUUAACAAGCACCAGGGAUGAGCUGCAGUGUGGGUUAUACAAAUUGCUGCAGCCAGCUGGGAAGGGCUGCUGUCCAUCUGCGGUGGCAAAAGCGAUAUUCUGCUUGAAACACAACAAUGAUGUUUCUCUCAUCCGUACAUAAUGCUUCCUUCUCCUUCAUUUUUGCUCCCCAUUGUUGACAGAAGCUCCUCAUGCCGUAGUCAUAGAAAGAUAAUUUCAAUUUGGUUGCUCUCUAGUGAACAGAUACGAAGCUCUGUCCCAGCUCUGUAAUGAAAAACGUCUUAAAUUAAAAUGAUUAUUGAUUUUUAAUCCAGCUUUGUGUUUUCAGUUGUCUUUGCAACAAAAGUUGGUGUGAUGCCAAUGUCUCUUCCCAUUGCAGAAUGGUGUAAAUGGUAAAUUCUGAUUUGGAAUUUGGAUAAAUAAAGUGGUAAAUAAAAUGUUUGGAAACGG